rnacentral:rRNA from 1 species
GAUGAACGCUGGCGGCGUGCCUAAUACAUGCAAGUCGAGCGAACGGACGAGAAGCUUGCUUCUCUGAUGUUAGCGGCGGACGGGUGAGUAACACGUGGAUAACCUACCUAUAAGACUGGGAUAACUUCGGGAAACCGGAGCUAAUACCGGAUAAUAUUUUGAACCGCAUGGUUCAAAAGUGAAAGACGGUCUUGCUGUCACUUAUAGAUGAAUCCGCGCUGCAUUAGCUAGUUGGUAAGGUAACGGCUUACCAAGGCAACGAUGCAUAGCCUACCUGAGAGGGUGAUCGGCCACACUGGAACUGAGACACGGUCCAGACUCCUACGGGAGGCAGCAGUAGGGAAUCUUCCGCAAUGGGCGAAAGCCUGACGGAGCAACGCCGCGUGAGUGAUGAAGGUCUUCGGAUCGUAAAACUCUGUUAUUAGGGAAGAACAUAUGUGUAAGUAACUGUGCACAUCUUGACGGUACCUAAUCAGAAAGCCACGGCUAACUACGUG